UCUUCGGAUUGUAAACUCCUGUUGUUGAGGAAGAUAAUGACGGUACUCAACAAGGAAGUGACGGCUAACUACGUGCCAGCAGCCGCGGUAAAACGUAGGUCACAAGCGUUGUCCGGAAUUACUGGGUGUAAAGGGAGCGCAGGCGGGCGAUCAAGUUGGAAGUGAAAUCCAUGGGCUCAACCCAUGAACUGCUUUCAAAACUGAUUGUCUUGAGUAGUGCAGAGGUAGGCGGAAUUCCCGGUGUAGCGGUGGAAUGCGUAGAUAUCGGGAGGAACACCAGUGGCGAAGGCGGCCUACUGGGCACCAACUGACGCUGAGGCUCGAAAGUGUGGGUAGCAAACAGGAUUAGAUACCCUGGUAGUCCACGCUGUAAACGAUGAACACUAGGUGUAGGGGAGCAAUCCUCUGUGCCGCAGUUAACACAAUAAGUGUUCCACCUGGGGAGUACGGCCGCAAGGUUGCAACUCAAAUGAAUUGACGGA
rnacentral:rRNA from 1 species